ensembl:lncRNA LINC02896 long intergenic non-protein coding RNA 2896
GGUUUUGUUUUUUUCAGACGGAGUUUCGCUUUUGUUGCCCAGGCUGGAGUGCAAUGGCGCGUUCUCAGCUCACUGCAACCUCCGCCUCCCUGGCUGAGGCAGGAAAAUUGCUUGGAGGCGGAGGCUGCAGUGAGCCGAGAUCGCGCCACUGCACUCAGGCCUGGGAGACAGAGUGAGACUCUGUCUCAAAAAAACAAAACAAAAAACAAACAGAAAAAAUGGGGGGUAGGGGGUUUGAGGAGCACAAGGCUUGGACCUACUAGACCUGGAGAUUUGGGGAACGAGGGAUGCCAGCCAUGUUCCUUGUACUGUAUGCAAAAGGGAAGUAACAAGUAUUGAAUGUUCACUUACCUCUUUCAUUCCCCAAUAUGAAAUAGAUAUUCCCAUUUGC